rnacentral:RNase_P_RNA from 2 species
UCGGUAAUUCAGGUAAUAGCCGAGCAUGUAUGUGCUCGGAGGAAAGUCCGGACACCAGCUCGAUGAAAAUCGGGCAAGCGUACGGGUUAACAACCCGCCACAGCAAUGCGAGAGGUGCGAGCAGAAACGCUCCGGCUUGAAAAGGCUGGAGGGACCCGAUCCCAAGCUAGACGGUCCAGUUCCGCGAUAGGGAUAGGAAAGCGGAAAUGAAACGGCUAAAUCCUUACAGGGUGCAAGGCCGUGUCCGCCGAUUAGGCGGAAGCGCCGCCAGAGCUCGAGAGCAAUCUCAAGCCCAGACAGAUUAUUACCCCAGACAGAAUCCGGCUUACGGAUUGCCGACAUA